UACCCGAUCUGCGGUGCCUACUCAAUUUGUGUGCGCAUGCACACGCAUGCGCAGAGCUUUACUAUUACAACCCUGUCCAAUCUGCGUUUUUUUUACUUUGCGACACGAGUCCCCAUCCGAUUUGUCUCAUGCACGCGCUCUCUGCUUAAUUAAAAUUCAUUUCACGACGCUGCCCGAUUUGUUCUGCGCAUGUUGAAUGUUUUACGACACACGUCACUCAUCGGGUUUGACUUGUACUUGCGAGUCAUUUUUGUGUUGUCGUUUUAACUCCGUCUGUAAGUGGACUUGUUAUUGGAAAAGAUGGCAACUUUUGAAUUUUAUAACGUCAUGGAAGAAGUGUCGCCUGAAAAAUUUAACUCCAGUCGAAUGAAGAGGGAGCGAAAUGAAAUGCGGACGUGUGUCUGUGAACUUUAUAAUGGAUAUGUACAGCUUUUUGAUGCCCGGUGGUAACCAACCUUCCAUGUGGCUGAACAGAUGCCAGUGUACCUAAAUUCUGAGACACAAUUCGAUGUUCUUUUCUUCUGCUUUUAAAAUUUCCAAUUCGAGAUGAUGUGCAGUUCAUAUUAGAUUUGUUAUUUCUACAGGUAAGACUACUGAGGCUUCCAGUUUCAGAAGUAAUUUGUGCACAAUUCCUGCAAAGCCUCCCCAUAUUUAUUAUUUGAUCUGUAAUAUUUUGCUGCCUUGAAUACUGUACUGUAUAUCUGCUCACUCUGUCCAGUAACUAACACAGC